CCUACGGGGGGCAGCAGUGGGGAAUAUUGCACAAUGGGGGAAACCCUGAUGCAGCGACGCCGCGUGAGUGAAGAAGUAUUUCGGUAUGUAAAGCUCUAUCAGCAGGGAAGAAACCCACCCUCCGGGGUGGCUGACGGUACCUCAGGAGAAAGCCCCGGCUAACUACGUGCCAGCAGCCGCGGUAAUACGUAGGGGGCAAGGGUUGUCCGGAAUUAUUGGGCGUAAGGAGGACGUAGGCGGUCUGUUAAGCGCAAGGUGAAAGGCAUAGGCUCAACCAAUGUGAGCCUUGCAAACUGGCAGACUUGAGUGCAGGAGAGGAAGGCGGAAUUCCUAGUGUAGCGGUGAAAUGCGUAGAUAUUAGGAGGAACACCAGUGGCGAAGGCGGUCUGCUGGACAGCAACUGACGGUGAGGCGCGAAAGCGUGGGGAGCAAACAGGAUUAGAUACCCCAGUAGUC
rnacentral:rRNA from 1 species